rnacentral:rRNA from 1 species
GGAUGCGUUCGGAUAUGGGCGUAAGGGCUCGCAGGCGGUUUCUUAAGUCUGAUGUGAAAGCCCCCGGCUCAACCGGGGAGGGUCAUUGGAAACUGGGAAACUUGAGUGCAGAAGAGGAGAGUGGAAUUCCACGUGUAGCGGUGAAAUGCGUAGAGAUGUGGAGGAACACCAGUGGCGAAGGCGACUCUCUGGUCUGUAACUGACGCUGAGGAGCGAAAGCGUGGGGAGCGAACAGGAUUAGAUACCCUGGUAGUCCACGCCGUAAACGAUGAGUGCUAAGUGUUAGGGGGUUUCCGCCCCUUAGUGCUGCAGCUAACGCAUUAAGCACUCCGCCUGGGGAGUACGGUCGCAAGACUGAAACUCAAAGGAAUUGACGGGGGCCCGCACAAGCGGUGGAGCAUGUGGUUUAAUUCGAAGCAACGCGAAGAACCUUACCAGGUCUUGACAUCCUCUGACAACCCUAGAGAUAGGGCUUUCCCUUCGGGGACAGAGUGACAGGUGGUGCAUGGUUGUCGUCAGCUCGUGUCGUGAGAUGUUGGGUUAAGUCCCGCAACGAGCGCAACCCUUGAUCUUAGUUGCCAGCAUUUAGUUGGGCACUCUAAGGUGACUGCCGGUGACAAACCGGAGGAAGGUGGGGAUGACGUCAAAUCAUCAUGCCCCUUAUGACCUGGGCUACACACGUGCUACAAUGGACAGAACAAAGGGCUGCGAGACCGCAAGGUUUAGCCAAUCCCACAAAUCUGUUCUCAGUUCGGAUCGCAGUCUGCAACUCGACUGCGUGAAGCUGGAAUCGCUAGUAAUCGCGGAUCAGCAUGCCGCGGUGAAUACGUUCCGCGGACAGAAGGGAGCUUGCUCCCGGAUGUUAGCGGCGGACGGGUGAGUAACACGUGGGUAACCUGCCUGUAAGACUGGGAUAACUCCGGGAAACCGGAGCUAAUACCGGAUAGUUCCUUGAACCGCAUGGUUCAAGGAUGAAAGACGGUUUCGGCUGUCACUUACAGAUGGACCCGCGGCGCAUUAGCUAGUUGGUGAGGUAACGGCUCACCAAGGCGACGAUGCGUAGCCGACCUGAGAGGGUGAUCGGCCACACUGGGACUGAGACACGGCCCAGACUCCUACGGGAGGCAGCAGUAGGGAAUCUUCCGCAAUGGACGAAAGUCUGACGGAGCAACGCCGCGUGAGUGAUGAAGGUUUUCGGAUCGUAAAGCUCUGUUGUUAGGGAAGAACAAGUGCAAGAGUAACUGCUUGCACCUUGACGGUACCUAACCAGAAAGCCACGGCUAACUACGUGCCAGCAGCCGCGGUAAUACGUAGGUGGCAAGCGUUGUCCGGAAUUAUUGGGCGUAAAGGGCUCGCAGGCGGUUUCUUAAGUCUGAUGUGAAAGCCCCCGGCUCAACCGGGGAGGGUCAUUGGAAACUGGGAAACUUGAGUGCAGAAGAGGAGAGUGGAAUUCCACGUGUAGCGGUGAAAUGCGUAGAGAUGUGGAGGAACACCAGUGGCGAAGGCGACUCUCUGGUCGUAACGACGUGAGGGAAAAGGGAA